rnacentral:lncRNA from 1 species
CAUUUUCGCCGUUUUAUGAUUUUGAGGUGUAAAAACUUCAAAGGAUAGCUGAAAUGGAAGAAAUAUGCCGGUAAAUUAGAUUUUUAUAACAAAUAUGAUUAUUUUUUAAACUACGACAAAAUUGCGGCACUUACCGCAAAGGACAGAAAACGGACAACGGUUUGCGGCCAAUUUCCUGAAUGAAAAAGACGAUUUCAAAGAAGUAUUUCUU